CCUCCCAGCUUCAAGCAAUUCUCCUGCCUCAGCCUCUAGAGUAGCUGAGAUUACAGUUUUCCGUGGCCGUGAGACAACAAAUUUCAUGUAUUUACUCAGACAAUGAUGCCACUUCACUUUGACUACUUUAGUGAGGACUUUUAUCCAUAAUCUCCAGUGUGCUUCCCCGUGGCUGUCCAUGAGCCCAGUUGGGUCAUAUGCCCAUUCAUGAACUAACCUUUAGACUUCAGUCUGGAUUUCUGACAAAUCAUCAACAAAGGAGAAGACUGAUCAUAAUUAUUUUCACCAGAGAGAGCAAGAAUCCUGAUAAAUAGCAGCUCCCACUAAUGUAGAUUGGCUACUGAGUACAUCAUGUUUUGAAGAAGGUGUAAACACAACUCUUGCGUUUUCUCAUCCAAAGGCAAAACUCCUUAGGAGGAAGGAAUGGACAUGACAUGUCUGAAAAGAAGGCCAAGACUUAACUAUGUUCAAGACUAAUGGACUAGUGCUGAUGAGCAGAAUGGUGGGAACAUACAAAAAUGUCUGCUAACAAUCUUCCAUUCAGAACGGCCUCUCUCCCACUUGAUUCACAUGAUCAUUGUGGAGCUAUUAUCACUGAACAAUGCCGCUCUGCCCAUACAGACACACUCAAUCUGUUCAAAGAUGGGAAGCUCAACCAAGUGUGCCAAAGUCCUCCCUGAUGAUUAGUGUAUGGAUAAAGAACCAUUUUCCACCUUUGGUUAUCUAUACUAAAAGAUGAAGCCUGUUUUUGCCAACGGGUUUAUGAGAAUGAAGAAAGUAAAGCUCCUAAGAAAAAUAGAGCAAUUACUGCUGGUGAUAGGAUCCCAUACUGUGCCAAAUGGGGUCAUAACAAAGGGAGGGAGAGGUGGAAGACACAAGGGCAGCCUUGGAUAUAGGAAUAAAUUAUAUCUCACAAUUUCUUCAAAAUA